GGCGAACGCUGGCGGCGUGCUUAACACAUGCAAGUCGAACGGUGAAGCGCCUUCCUUUUUGGUGGGUGUGGAUGAGUGGCGAACGGGUGAGUAACACGUGAGUAACCUGCCCCCUUCUUCUGGAUAACCGCAUGAAAGUGUGGCUAAUACGGGAUAUUCUGGGUCUGUCGCAUGAUGGGUCUGGGAAAGAUAUUGUUUCGGUGGGGGAUGGGCUCGCGGCCUAUCAGCUUGUUGGUGGGGUGAUGGCCUACCAAGGCGGUGACGGGUAGCCGGCCUGAGAGGGUGGACGGUCACACUGGGACUGAGACGCGGCCCAGACUCCUACGGGAGGCAGCAGUGGGGAAUAUUGCACAAUGGGCGCAAGCCUGAUGCAGCGACGCCGCGUGAGGGAUGGAGGCCUUCGGGUUGUGAACCUCUUUCGCCAGUGAAGCAGGCCUGCCUCGUUUGUGGGUGGGUUGACGGUAGCUGGAUAAGAAGCGCCGGCUAACUACGUG
rnacentral:rRNA from 1 species